rnacentral:rRNA from 1 species
AUAUUAAAAUUGUUGGCGUUAAAAAGCUCGUAGUCGAACUUCGGCGUUUGAAGGCCGGUCCGCUUGUAAUGAGUGUGUACUGGAUCCUUUAGAUGCUUUACCUCCUGGUGAACUAGCAUGGCGUUUACUCGUCGUGUUAGGGAACCCGGACAGUUACUUUGAAAAAAUUAGAGUGUUCAAAGCAGGCAUGUUUGCCCGAAUAUCUUAGCAUGGAAUAAUAGAAUAGGACGUGCACGCCUAUUGUGUUGGUCUCUAGGUGUGCCGUAAUGAUGAAUAGGGGCGGUUGGGGGCAUUUGUAUUCAUUGCUA